AGUGAACGCUGGCGGUAGGCCUAACACAUGCAAGUCGAACGGCAGCACAGUAAGAGCUUGCUCUUACGGGUGGCGAGUGGCGGACGGGUGAGGAAUACAUCGGAAUCUACUUUUUCGUGGGGGAUAACGUAGGGAAACUUACGCUAAUACCGCAUACGACCUACGGGUGAAAGCAGGGGAUCUUCGGACCUUGCGCGAUUGAAUGAGCCGAUGUCGGAUUAGCUAGUUGGCGGGGUAAAGGCCCACCAAGGCGACGAUCCGUAGCUGGGCUGAGAGGAUGAUCAGCCACACUUGAACUGAGACACGGUCCAGACUCCUACGGGAGGCAGCAGUGGGGAAUAUUGGACAAUGGGCGCAAGCCUGAUCCAGCCAUACCGCGUGGGUGAAGAAGGCCUUCGGGUUGUAAAGCCCUUUUGUUGGGAAAGAAAAGCAGCAGGUUAAUACCCCGCUGUUCUGACGGUACCCAAAGAAUAAGCACCGGCUAACUUCGUG
rnacentral:rRNA from 1 species